CCCGCCGGGCCCGGACCACGCUAGCGGCUGCCGAGCCCGGGCUCCCGGCAGGAGGGCGCCCGGGCCCAGUACUCGAGUGCCCGGGUCUCUAGAGGGCUACGGAGCGCGCCCGCCUCCAGGACCGGGUAUUUGACUGAGCAGCCUGCGAAGUAGAGCGCGGAAGGUCCGCAGUGGGUGCGGCGCGGCGCAGUCGGGGCUAGCCCACUUGCUCUGCGUAGCUUUUCUAGAGUGUCGGGGGUCUCGAGGGGCCGGGGUUGGACCGCAGCUGCGCGACUCCGAGGGACUCUUCUCUGCAGAUCCAGGCCCGCACCUAUCUGCAGAUGCCUUUAUCUCUUCCAGUGAUCCACAGACUUGAUGAAAUCAGUUCGGGCCUCAAAGAGAAGAUGAAUUGUAAGCAAAAUUCAAAAAUCACGACUCUGGGGAAAGAGCCCCCCAAAUCCAGAGCCCUGUAGUACCAGCCCUGCUAGUUCAACUGAAGGCUGCAGCAUGUGAGUUAGACUUAGGAAAGUUCAUUACUGUGCCGGGCAGAUCGCUGCCACUGUGUGGGAGGCUUUGCUUACUGAAGACCUUACUUUAAGAUUAAUUACCCAUAGGCCUUGAUCUAAAUGGGCAAACACAGCAAGGAAAAUAUCAGAAGCACAAGCCAGAGCUGUGGUCCUCCUUACUCAUCCACUCAUCCAUCAAGAUAAGUCAGCAUCGUCCCCAUUAUCCACUACUUCCUCCCAACCGCGCUUUCUAAGCUGCUGAGGAUGGAAGAGAAAGCAGACUUGA